UACAGAGGUCUCAAGCGUUGUUCGGAUUCAUUGGGCGUAAAGGGUGUGUAGGUGGCGCGCUAAGUCGGGUGUGAAAUUUCGGAGCUUAACUCCGAAACUGCAUUCGAUACUGGCGUGCUUGAGGACUGGGGAGGAGACUGGAAUUCAUGGUGUAGCAGUGAAAUGCGUAGAGAUCAUGAGGAAGACCAGUGGCGAAGGCGGGUCUCUGGACAGUUCCUGACACUGAGACACGAAGGCCAGGGGAGCAAACGGG
rnacentral:rRNA from 1 species